GCUACUUCAACUACCAUGGCAUGAUACUUUCUCGUUCUAACUUCCCUACCUCAUGAAGGCGAUGAUGUGUUCCCUGGGUAAGAAUACUAAAGAAACCAGAAUUUUUCAUAAACGAGUACUUACACCCUUUCUGCCUUGAAAUCAAUCGAGUCUUAGUUAAAAUUUACUCCAAAUACAAGAUUGUUGCUUUGCACAAAUACUGAGUGUUUUUAGCCAGUAAGACGAACUAUUCCAUAGGCAGUCAGCAAGGUUACAUUACAGCUUAAAACUGAGGUAACGUAAAUGACUGUUUGGAACGUACAAGAAUUUAACUGGCUGGAAUACAAGCGCUGCUACUCGAAGCUAUGAAUAUCAUAUAUUCGGAAAACUUAACGUUACUAAAGUUCACACUUACCAAAGCCAUGUCGAAUACCCAGUGUUCACUUUUAAUAUAUAUCAGAGGCUUAUAAGGCAGAUAUCUUUCAAGGUUUCUAUUAAAAACUGUGCUUGUUACGAUUCUUCCUCUCAGUCUGAACUGCGCCGCUUGCUACAAAAUCUGCGUAAACCUCUGGACUGAGUGCGUACGUAACGGAAAAAAGCAGAAAGGAAAGUCUCAAAAUAAAAAGUAACUGUUAAUUAAAUGAACUAUCAGAAUCUGUGCAGUGUAAUCCAGCGACAAUGAUAGGGAGAUAUUUCUGUUAUGAAAACGGACUAGCUUCAAUCUUGUUUGCGAUAUGUCUGUGAACAGUUCUCAAGGUUGUGUUGGUACUCCGAAAUUUCAAGUAACGAUGUUUCUAAAAUCGAAAUCAGCAUCUGAAACUACAUAAGAUUACUAAAAUUUCUACUCUAACAAACCCACCCGUUGUUGAUCAGUGUGUUAUGAAACAUAAAUAUGUACAAGCUUUAAUUUUAUCUCAUUAUGAAAGCAUACGUUUUGUAGCUUAAUAUUUUUGAAAGUUCAGCAAACAAAAAGUGGACGCCAAACACAAGGUUACUGUUGUGACUAAUUUUAAGUUAA